UGAAUAGCUCAGUGGUAAGAGCAGUCGCCCGGCAAGCGAAAGACUCGGGUUCGAUUCCCGAUUCAGCGA
rnacentral:tRNA from 1 species